AUUGAACGCUGGCGGCAGGCCUAACACAUGCAAGUCGAACGGUAACAGGAAGAAGCUUGCUUCUUUGCUGACGCGUGGCGGACGGGUGAGUAAUGUCUGGGAAACUGCCUGAUGGAGGGGGAUAACUACUGGAAACGGUAGCUCAUACCGCAUAACGUCGCAAGACCAAAGAGGGGGACCUUCGGGCCUCUUGCCAUCGGAUGUGCCCAGAUGGGAUUAGCUAGUAGGUGGGGUAACGGCUCACCUAGGCGACGAUCCCUAGCUGGUCUGAGAGGAUGACCAGCCACACUGGAACUGAGACACGGUCCAGACUCCUACGGGAGGCAGCAGUGGGGAAUAUUGCACAAUGGGCGCAAGCCUGAUGCAGCCAUGCCGCGUGUAUGAAGAAGGCCUUCGGGUUGUAAAGUACUUUCAGCGGGGAGGAAGGGAGUAAAGUUAAUACCUUGGCUCAUUGACGUUACCCGCAGAAGAAGCACCGGCUAACUCCGUG
rnacentral:rRNA from 1 species